rnacentral:rRNA from 1 species
AAUUUUGAACAAUGGGGGAAUCCCUGAUCCAGCCAUCCCGCGUGUAUGAUGAAGGCCNNNGGGUUNUCAAGUACGUUUGUCAGNGACNAAAAGGUCCUCCCUAAUACGGGAGACUGCUGACGGUCUUUGCAGAAUAUGCAACGGCUAACUACGUGCCAGCAGCCGCGGUAAUACGUAGGGUGCAAGCGUUAAUCGGAAUUACUGGGCGUAAAGCGUGUGUAGGCGGGUCGGAAAGAAAGAUGUGAAAUCCCAGGGCUCAACCUUGGAACUGCAUUUUUAACUGCCGAGCUAGAGUAGGUCAGAGGGGGGUAGAAUUCCACGUGUAGCAGUGAAAUGCGUAGAUAUGUGGAGGAAUACCGAUGGCGUAGGCAGCCCCCUGGGAUAAUACUGACGCUCAGACACGAAAGCGUGGGGAGCAAACAGG